rnacentral:lncRNA from 15 species
UUAAUACACUCCCUUUGACCAAAAUCUGCAUGUAACCUCUUUGCACAUCAGCCAUGCCCCUCCACAAUCACAUCGUGAAAGAGGCGUGGACACAGGACAGGAUUCAAGAGGAUGAGGAUUCUGCUUCAGUCCCUCAAGUUCAAGUAAAUCUUUUAUUUAAAUUGAAGUUUAAAAAAAUAGGAAAUCACACUGAAACUUGAGAGACAGUGAACAAAGACGUUAGAUUCUAGGUACAGAUACUACUGGCAGUCUGACUCACACUACAAUAAGUGUGAAGUGGGAAAAAAAAAAAACAUUUUGUGACUGCUGAUAGUCUAGACGCAAAAAUUAGUUUUAGGUCUCUGGAGAGUGCACACACGAUAAACAAAUCUUCUCCCUCUGCCCGAGCCUUUGUUGGUUUCUCCCAUUGACGUGUUUCUACACAGCAGAUGGCUUUACACAUAAAUCCUAUUAACAACUUUCUGCUGAUGGAGACGCAGUGAGUACAGGGCUUUCUCGCUCUUUCAUUAUCGCCGCUGAGAAGCCUGCUUUUUUAUUUCCUAACCUCUAAAAAGAAGCAGUGGUAGAGCUGAAGUCGGAGGCCACGCCAUGUCUGCAGAGAAGAAGCCAAAGAAGAAGAAAGGUUCGGGCACAGAUGAUGACGAUGAUGAUGACGAUGAUGAAGACACCCUCAAAAAGAAGACUAAGAAAAAGACAACAAAAGACAGUUCUCCGUCUGAAAGUUCUGCCAAAGAAAAGAAAUCUAAAUCUAAAGAGGACAAAGACUCUGAUGGCAAAGAAAAAAAGUCCAAAUCAAAGGAUAAGGACAAGAAGAAAGAACCAGCCUCAAUGUUCCAGAUAAAUGGAGAAAAAGAAUCAAAGAGCAAGAAGAAAGCUGCCAAAUCAGACAGUGAUGAGAGUGAAGAGGAGACGAAGUCAACCAAAUCAAAAAAGAAAUCCACGGCUGGCUCAGCAUCCAUGUUCCAAAUAGACAAGGACAAGGACAAAGACAAGGACAAAGACAAGGGCAAAGACAAAGACAAAGACAAGGGCAAAGACAAGAAGACGAAGAAGAAAGGCAGGUUUACCACUACCUUGUCUUCCUUUUGA